CCUCCAGUCCUCUGCUACUCGCACUGUCGCACGGGACUCGCAAGCCACGAGCUCCCACACGGGACUCCAUAGACCGCUGCCGGCUGCCGCCACCCUGCCGACCCAUCCCGACCUACUCCAUGAUGGCUUUAGAUCCAGAUGUCCUCCAUCUCCCUUCCUCAUCUGCUCCGCAUCGCCCCUCUCCUGUCCUUUUCCUCACCGGCUCAACCCAUUCAUCUUCUUGCUAGAUAUUAGGGGGAUCGAGAGCGCUGCUAGGAGCAACGGCGGCGGCCGCCGCUUCUUCGCGCCGGCCUCCAUUCUCAUCGGCCAUUCCCACUGGCCACGCUCACCUACGUCCUCCACUGCCGUUGGUGCUUCUUCCGCAGAAAGGUGCGCAUCUUCCAACAAGCACUAGUACAGCACCAAGAUUGAUCCGAUCCAAUUCCAAAAGGGGGCCGGGGGAACCACGUGCACCUCACAUGGCCUUCUAGCUGCUUCAUUUGAAUACCAAGCAUACGUAUUCUGUUGCUAGCUGCUUGCAUUGCUACAACCGCAUAAUCAAUUCUGCUAGUGGAUCAGCUAUGGCACGUGAUGUUCUGGCUAUUUCACUCAGCACUGUUUCUUCUGAAUCUGCAUUCAACUUAUGUGGUCCGAUUCUUAGUGACAAUCGAAGCUCGAUGACGCCACAAACUCUUGAAACCCUGGUUUACUGCAAAGAUUGGUUGGUAAUUUUAAUUCACCCACCUGUACAAGCUCUCAAGUGUUAUUUCUGUUGUACCUUUGCAUCUGCAUCCACAAACUCUUUGUGUGUGCGUGUGCAGUCCGAGGGUAAAUCAUGAGAAGCUGAGAUGACUCUUAAGGCUUUCAGGGAGAAGUUUCCUAAGCUUUUCACUCUGUGAAGAAAACAAUGACAAUCCACAUGUUCCCUUUUUCAAGCUCCAGAAGUAGCACAUCCUGGUUGCUAUGCUGUAGAUUCAGAUGCUCCCCCUUGAUUCACUAUAUUAUUCUUUUCGCUAGCUUGGUCUCCUGAACUGAACAUGCAAGCACCAAUUUAUGUUACCUAUAAUGUAGCUCAAGAAGCUGAAUUUUUUGUAUGUUUUGUGGUCGUUUUGAAUCUUGGAAACCUCUCAUUUAUGUCUGAAUCAAUGCGUUGAUUACUGAAAGUUCUGCA